UUAGUGGAAGCGUCUGGAAAGGCGCGCGAUACAGGGUGACAGCCCCGUACACAAAAGCGCAUGUGCUGUGAGCUCGAUGAGUAGGGCGGGACACGUGGUAUCCUGUCUGAAUAUGGGGGGACCAUCCUCCAAGGCUAAAUACUCCUGACUGACCGAUAGUGAACCAGUACCGUGAGGGAAAGGCGAAAAGAACCCCGGCGAGGGGAGUGAAAAAGAACCUGAAACCGUGUACGUACAAGCAGUGGGAGCACAGGUUUACCUGUGUGACUGCGUACCUUUUGUAUAAUGGGUCAGCGACUUAUAUUCUGUAGCAAGGUUAACCGWAUAGGGGAGCCGGAGGGAAACCGAGUCUUAAYYGGGCGUUAAGUUGCAGGGUAUAGACCCGAAACCCGGUGAUCUAGCCAUGGGCAGGUUGAAGGUUGGGUAACACUAACUGGAGGACCGAACCGACUAAUGUUGAAAAAUUAGCGGAUGACCUGUGGCUGGGGGUGAAAGGCCAAUCAAACCGGGAGCUAAGGUCCCAAAGUCAUGGUUAAGUGGGAAACGAUGUGGGAAGGCCCAGACAGCCAGGAUGUUGGCUUAGAAGCAGCCAUCAUUUAAAGAAAGCGUAAUAGCUCACUGGUCGAGUCGGCCUGCGCGGAAGAUGUAACGGGGCUAAACCAUGCACCGAAGCUGCGGCAGCGA
rnacentral:rRNA from 1 species